rnacentral:rRNA from 1 species
AGAGUUUGAUCCUGGCUCAGAACGAACGCUGGCGGAGUGCUUAAUACAUGCAAGUCGUGCGAGAAAGCAGUCUUCGGAUUGUGAUUAGAGCGGCGAACGGGUGAGUAACACGUAAGCAACCUGCCCCUAAAUCUGGGAUAACCUUUCUAACGAGGGGCUAAUACCGGAUGUGAUCUUUUGAUUUCAUGAUUUUUAGAUUAAAGGUGACCUCUUCUUGAAAGUUACUGUUUAGGGAUGGGCUUGCGGACCAUUAGCUUGUUGGUGGGGUAAUGGCCUACCAAGGCGACGAUGGUUAGCCGACCUGAGAGGGUGAUCGGCCACAUUGGGACUGAGAUACGGCCCAGACUCCUACGGGAGGCAGCAGUAGGGAAUUUUGCGCAAUGGACGAAAGUCUGACGCAGCAACUCCGCGUGAGGGAUGAAGGCCUUCGGGUUGUAAACCUCUGUUGAGUGGGAAGAAAAAUUUUAUGGAUAAUACCCAUAAGACCUGACGGUACCACUCGAGGAAGCAUCGGCUAACUACGUGCCAGCAGCCGCGGUAAUACGUAGGGUGCAAGCGUUGUUCGGAAUCACUGGGCGUAAAGAGAGCGUAGGCGGAAGAGUAAGUUAGAAGUGAAAUGUAUCGGCUUAACCGGUAACCUGCUUUUAAUACUGCUUUUCUUGAGUAUGUGAGAGGAUGAUGGAAUUCCAGGUGUAGCGGUGGAAUGCGUAGAUAUCUGGAAGAACACCAGUUGCGAAGGCGGUCAUCUGGCACAAUACUGACGCUGAGGCUCGAAAGCUAGGGGAGCGAACAGGAUUAGAUACCCUGGUAGUCCUAGCCGUAAACGAUGGAUACUAGAUGCUGGAGGAAUUAAUCUUUCAGUGUCGGAGCUAACGCAUUAAGUAUCCCGCCUGGGGAGUACGCUCGCAAGGGUGAAACUCAAAGGAAUUGACGGGGGCCCGCACAAGCGGUGGAGCAUGUGCUUUAAUUCGAUGCAACGCGAAGAACCUUACCUGGUCUUGACAUGGGAAUGAAAGUUUCUAGAGAUAGAAGCCUUUCCUUCGGGAGCAUUCUACACAGGUGCUGCAUGGUUGUCGUCAGCUCGUGUCGUGAGAUGUUGGGUUAAGUCCCGCAACGAGCGCAACCCCUGUCCUUAGUUGCCAGCACGUCAUGGUGGGAACUCUAAGGAGACUGCCUGGAUUAACAGGAGGAAGGUGGGGAUGACGUCAAAUCCUCAUGGCCCUUACGACCAGGGCUAGACACGUGCUACAAUGGGCGGUACAGAGGGAUGCUAACUCGCGAGAGUACGCUAAUCCCUUAAAACCGUUCUCAGUUCGGAUCGGAGUCUGCAAUUCGACUCCGUGAAGUUGGAAUCGCUAGUAAUCGCGGAUCAGAAUGCCGCGGUGAAUACGUUCCCGGGCCUUGUACACACCGCCCGUCAAGCCAUGAAAGAUGGUAGUGCCCGAAGCCGUUUCUCUAACCGCAAGGAAGAAAACGUCGAAGGUAAGACUAUUGAUUGGGGCUAAGUCGUAACAAGGUA